CACCCCUUGUUUUCUUUCUGAGCAGGGACAGAUAUGUCGCAUGUUUAAAGCUUCAUCCUAUCAAUCUAGUGUCAAGUUCUGUACAUUAUAAUUGCAGUUUUGAUGAAGUAUAAAGGAAUGUGACCCUUCAGACCACUUUUAUUUAAAAAACGAAAGUGUGAAGUAGGGUGCAGAAAUUACACAUUUAAGGUGGACAUUUAGAGUAGAAUUAAAAUAUUUUCAUGUUUAAAAAAUGAAGUUGCACACAUUUUUUACCUAACAGCUGGCAUAGAAAAUAGAUUCUUAGAGCAUAAAUAGCUGUGAAGACAAGAAAGUGUGUGACUUUACAAGAUUGUAGUUCAUCAAUAGCAUUGUUAAAUGAGUUUUCACACAUUUUGUUUUACAGUAGCAAAAUGCUACUAUCACUGGUUUCAUCAAAAGCAAGACCUGGCAACAGAGAUGUUGCUGGGCAAUACAUAAGGUCAAAGAAGCAUUUGUCAUGUUUGGCUUUGAUUUUAAGCCAUCUAAUAUUCAGCAACCCAACAACCUGGGAGGCUGACUUUUUUGUCUUGAAAAAUGUUGCAGGGCUUGUAUAGAGCAAUGUCCUUGAUCCAGGAACAGGAUCCAUGAAAGAAUAUGUCAAGUAUAGUUUGGAGUCUGCAGACUAAAAUUAUCUGCGAGUCUUUGAUUUGAUUUUGAUGCCAGAGACAAUCUUUGCUCUGAUAUCCAUGCCAAGGACUAUCAAGACUUUGCGAAGUAAAAGUAAAUUUGUGUGUUUCAGCAUGCCCCUUUUGACAAUACUGGUGUAUCAUUAUCUUGAUUUACCUUUCUUCUGUGCAUGUGAUUCUGUUUCUAGCAAUUUAAAAUACUUGUUAUGAUUUCAAAGAUGCCUUAUUCUUAAUGAUUUAUUUCAAGAUGAGCUGCUAGCUAUUCUGAUUGAAUUUCUCAGGGUGUCACUUUGAACAAACUUAGGUUUAUUGUUUUUAGUAGAUUGCUGAGGAAUAAACUUCAUGAUUAUCCUCUUGUCAUUCAAAUCAGUCACAGAUUUAUUUCCACUCCAAGCACUGCAGAAUACGAGACAGUCUCAUUUUUUGAAUGAUAACUGUGAGCAGCAAAAUAAACCAGUCAUUUCUUAGGAAAGGACUUGAUCCAACAUCCCUGCAAGCUACUGCAAUGCGUCUUUUGACUUGCAGAAUUUUGGCUCAUGGUAUGCCAGGAGUGAGUCGACAAAGACAACUUUCUGCAUACCCUGCUGCUCUGCCUCGAAGGUACUGAAUGUCAAGUUACACAAGAAGGACACCUCAUUACAACCUUCUGGCUGCUCUACAUUGGGAAGCUGGCAGGCAUCUUCUAACUACUGUUUCUGCCUCCUGCUUGCCAGACCUGCACAACUGUUCUCCCUGGACUGCAACAGCAGAAGCUAUCAACUUGGAUCAGGCAUAUUUGCUUCAAUUCAAUGCCACUUUCUUACCCUGCCUUUGCUACAGGUCACAGAAGAUAAGAGAUGGACUCACCAUUGGACACAAUCUUUCUGCUUGCCCUAAGCUAGCGUGAUUCCCUGGGCAUCAUACAUCUUGAAUUUGAUGUAGACUCCGUUCAGUAUCCAUUGAUGUUUGUGGAGUUCUGCAGUUCAGGGGACUAAGCAUUUGCAGUCUUUAUCAGUCAGCGUGGGCUGAAGUUGCAGCAGGAACAAGCCGUCUAAAUUCCAGAGAAUGAACACACCAUCCAUGAAACAAAUAGGACAAGGCUGAUGGGGGGAGGUGACAUAUUUAUCUUCAUUUUAAUAAAGACUAUUAUUUCUGCUUACGUUCUUUGCCUUAUUUUUACUCCACAUAGAAUACAGCCUCUCUUUUACAAGUCAGCCAGGAAUCACAAGCUGCAAUUACGUCAUUGACAUGUACUUAGGAAAUUAGCAUCACUAUAACAGAAAGUAAAUUCCUUUCCUUUCUUGGUGGCAUAUGUGUGUUUCUGGAAUGGGAAAAAAGUAUUAUUGGAAUUUGUCCCUUCUUUGUUCAGCCUACAGCCCAUUCUACAACCCUUUGUCCUUUGUUUAUCUCAGUUGAGGUGAUUAAGACCUUUAUGAUUUGCCUCUCCAGUUUUACUAUCCCUUUAAACACUGCCAUAGAGGAAUAAAAACCAGAGAACUUGAGAGAAGUUCCCACAACCCAAAUUCAAACCUCUACCUACAAUGAAGGGCAGAAAAUGAGCAAUGGUGAGACUGAGCAUUUCUGAAUCUUCAGGCUUCUUUUCAGGGCUCCCCAGAAACAUGGAUAUUUUCAGAGUACAGAAAAAGAAAGCUAGAUUAUUCUGACUUUGCUUAUUCAAUAUCCAGUUCUUUAUGAUGAAAGAGAUUAUUGAAGAAAGCUGUGAUGUGUCAAUGCAGAGCAAAAUUGCACUGAGCUGAAAGAUGAAUGUGCACAAACCAUGCAUCUCCUUCGCCAUUGUAGCGUUUAUAUAUUAUUUAUGUCUGCACUGAGAAAAAUUUAUAUAUUAAUGCAGUCUUCUUUAAUGUCACUUAGCAAUAUUUCAGCAUCUACUUUCCUGCUGCAGGUCACUAACAGCAAGUUUUUAUAUACUCUCAGUCAGAAAGAGAACAAUAGCUAGAUGACCUUCUGAUCUUAUCAUAGUGUAUUGUCAUUAUUAUAAAAAUAAAGAUAAAAAUUUAAAUGUGAAGAAGCCUUGGACUUUCCUAGUGAGAAAUAACAAUAGGAGCUAUAUUUAUGUGUCUGUCUUCACACUAUUUGGCUAUCGGGCAGAGCAAGGAUCUCAGAAAGAAAGCACCCCUGGCUUUUCAUUUAUUUCAGUAUGAAAAUCACUUUCCAUUUUGUUGGUUACUGACUACAUAGUCAUGUGUAAACAUGUUCAAAACAUUUUGCUUAGAGAACAAUGGUGCAUCAGGCCAAAUAUGAUCCUGUGCUGAAAUAUUUAUCUUUUUUCCAAAUAUGAUUAUGAUCAAACCACAAGGUUGUCUAAACCUGUUAUACUGAAAUGGCCAACAAGAUGAAAAAACAUGCACUUAUGCUCUGAACAAAGCAUCAAAUGUGGAAUACAUAAGUGUAAACAUAGCAAUUUGGAAAUGUCGUCUAAGAAAUAUAUAGGGCCUUCAAAUGCACCCGUUGCCUCUUUUGGGACAGUGGCAGUAAUUUAACAAUGCCCUGUAGAACCCCCAAUCCUGUAUCAAUCAAUGGACAUUAAAGAAUUAAAGGUUAAUUCCUGCUCCCUGUUCCUAGUAAAAUUAAGAGGACCUAUAUCUCUGUUUGCUCCUUCAAGGCCAGAUGGAGUAGCUAAGUAGCUUGAAUAGUAAUUUCUUAUACAGCUAUAUGAAUAAUUCAUUCUUUGAUUCCUGACCAAACUCAGAAAAAGCACUGUUCUUGUAUUAUAUGAAAUACUUUUUUCCUGCUUGGGAAAACAAUAAAACAUAGCUGCAGACUUGAUCUAGGUGAG